ACGCUCGACACCUACGAGAGGCAGCAGUGGGGAAUAUUGCACAAUGGGGGAAACCCUGAUGCAGCGACGCCGCGUGAGUGAAGAAGUAUUUCGGUAUGUAAAGCUCUAUCAGCAGGGAAGAAGAUGACGGUACCUGAGUAAGAAGCCCCGGCUAACUACGUGCCAGCAGCCGGUAAUCUGAGCGGGCUGGCAAGGC
rnacentral:rRNA from 1 species